rnacentral:rRNA from 1 species
GACGAACGCUGGCGGCGUGCUUAACACAUGCAAGUCGAACGGAAAGGCCCUGCUUUUGUGGGGUGCUCGAGUGGCGAACGGGUGAGUAACACGUGAGUAACCUGCCCUUGACUUUGGGAUAACUUCAGGAAACUGGGGCUAAUACCGGAUAGGAGCUCCUGCUGCAUGGUGGGGGUUGGAAAGUUUCGGCGGUUGGGGAUGGACUCGCGGCUUAUCAGCUUGUUGGUGGGGUAGUGGCUUACCAAGGCUUUGACGGGUAGCCGGCCUGGGAGGGUGACCGGCCACAUUGGGACUGAGAUGCGGCCCAGCCUCCUCCGGGAGGCAGCAGUGGGGAAUAUUGCACCAUGGGCGGAAGCCUGAUGCAGCAACGCCGCGUGCGGGAUGACGGCCUUCGGGUUGUAAACCGCUUUCGCCUGUGACGAAGCGUGAGUGACGGUAAUGGGUAAAGAAGCACCGGCUAACUACGUG